AAGUAUAUCUUUGCUUUACCUAACAUAGUUAAAAGUUUAGGUCGCCGCCGCCAAUGGCUCCUCUCCCGUACUCCGCCGCGCCCACCACGGAAACCGCCUCUCCGCCUGCGUCCGCCGCCAUGCCACCAACGAUGGUCGGCCGUCCGUGAGGUCGUGGUUUCGCACUUGCAUGAGCUCCUUCCGCUCUUUACGAAUCUCUUGCGGUUCCCAAGACUGCACGCACUUAAGACGCUUGCAAGAAUGCCAAACCCUGUUUCUUCUGCAAUUGGUAUAUUCUUGGAACCAGGUUUAUGUGGAUUCUAGGUGCUGUUCUGAUAUCCAGUACGAGAGAAGAGAACCAGAUACGCAGGAUGAUGCUGACAUUCUCGAUUUGCUCAUGAGCGUGAGGUUAUUGCCUUCCUUGCAGACAUAGGAAGUAUGCCAAAAGAGUAACAUAGAUCGCUUUCAAGCUGUACCUGAAGUAUAGACUCAUACAAUUCCAUUGCAAUGAAGUUGCAUCCAACCAUUCAUGUAAGAAGGUAGGUGAAUCCUGUUUCUUGCAACCCUUACGUUCUUCUAUCGAAUCAUACUUUAUCAUACGGAUGCAGUUAAACUUUCUGAUAAAUCUAGAGAUUUGUGAGAAAGAAUUUUAAUAUCUCAUGGAGGGAUAAGGGCAGCAUUUGAACCUUGAGAUUGCAAAAGGACUGAGCUUUUGGUGAGCUUGCUCUAAAGCUGCUGUCUCUUGCCGAGCUGCCAGACUCCAUGGGUCGACAAAACCACCUGUGGUAUCAGAGAAACACCUCUUGGCUCCUCCAAGACUGUGUCUAUUCUUCUGGUGUUGCAUGAUUCCAUCUUGGGUGGUGAUAUACCUUGGGAUCGUUCCACCUGCACAACUGCCACGUUUCCCGUCACCAACUUCCUGACCAUUCACUAGUGACAUGCCAAGCCUCAGCUCCAAAUUGUUCAGCCUCUCUAUCACCUCACAUAACCUGUUCAAUGGGCCUUGAACAGGUACUACUUAGGUUUAUCAUUUCGUGACUAUCAUGAUGAGAUAUAUGAGGAUUGCUGCUCCAUGCAAGGUCAUUGGUACUUUAGCAUGUCAAGGAUUUUUUUUUUUCUAAUAAACAUAUUGGCUUAUGUUUGGGUUGAUGCAAUAUUGUUGUUGAUUGCAGGAAAUGAUUAGCCAAAUACAACCUGGAAAAUUAUUAUCCAAGAUUUCCCAGCUGUAAGAUGGGAAACUUGGGACAUGAGUCUUCACCUUAACACAAUACUAGAUGGGAAUGGGAAGAGUAUACAAGUGGAGUAGAGCCUCUUGCGAAGAAAUGGCCAUCAUCUCGAUGUACCCCGAAUGAACAGGAGAGAGAAGCCUUUUUGCUCCUUGUCAAGAGCAACAUGGUUAUCAUCUUGGCAUGGAGAGAAGGAAGUCAUGUUUAUCUCCCUCGGGAGACAACAAGAUGGCAGUGAAGAUACAGCAAGCUUGUUUUGGGAUAGUCGUAAUCAUCAAAGCAAAUCCACCAUGAGAAGCUUGUCCUGAGGUUGAGCUUGUUCUGUUCUUGUCACUUGAGAUUCCUGGUGGAGUUCCCUACACUUCUCUUUGUGGCUGUCUCUUUCCACCAAACCAACAACAGCUCAGUUCUUGACAAUCUAAUUGAGUGACAAAUCUUCCAUGGAUGAAUUAUUUUACCAAGUUAUGAGUUGAGAAUAAAUGGAAAUAGAAGACUGUAAUAUAUUGAAUGUGUUGUUAAAUAGCUUUAUGUGCAAUCAAGAGGUCUGGAUUUUGAGUUC